UGGGGUAUCGCCAAGCGGUAAGGCACCGGNNUCCGAGGUUCGAAUCCUCGUACCCCAGCCA
rnacentral:tRNA from 2 species